rnacentral:rRNA from 1 species
UAGAGUUUGAUCAUGGCUCAGAUUGAACGCUGGCGGCAGGCCUAACACAUGCAAGUCGGACGGUAGCACAGAGAGCUUGCUCUCGGGUGACGAGUGGCGGACGGGUGAGUAAUGUCUGGGAAACUGCCUGAUGGAGGGGGAUAACUACUGGAAACGGUAGCUAAUACCGCAUAACGUCGCAAGACCAAAGAGGGGGACCUUCGGGCCUCUUGCCAUCAGAUGUGCCCAGAUGGGAUUAGCUAGUAGGUGGGGUAAUGGCUCACCUAGGCGACGAUCCCUAGCUGGUCUGAGAGGAUGACCAGCCACACUGGAACUGAGACACGGUCCAGACUCCUACGGGAGGCAGCAGUGGGGAAUAUUGCACAAUGGGCGCAAGCCUGAUGCAGCCAUGCCGCGUGUAUGAAGAAGGCCUUCGGGUUGUAAAGUACUUUCAGCGGGGAGGAAGGUGUUGCGGUUAAUAACCGCAGCAAUUGACGUUACCCGCAGAAGAAGCGCCGGCUAACUCCGUGCCAGCAGCCGCGGUAAUACGGAGGGUGCAAGCGUUAAUCGGAAUUACUGGGCGUAAAGCGCACGCAGGCGGUCUGUCAAGUCGGAUGUGAAAUCCCCGGGCUCAACCUGGGAACUGCAUUCGAAACUGGCAGGCUAGAGUCUUGUAGAGGGGGGUAGAAUUCAGGUGUAGCGGUGAAAUGCGUAGAGAUCUGGAGGAAUACCGGUGGCGAAGGCGGCCCCCUGGACAAAGACUGACGCUCAGGUGCGAAAGCGUGGGGAGCAAACAGGAUUAGAUACCCUGGUAGUCCACGCCGUAAACGAUGUCGACUUGGAGGUUGUGCCCUUGAGGCGUGGCUUCCGGAGCUAACGCGUUAAGUCGACCGCCUGGGGAGUACGGCCGCAAGGUUAAAACUCAAAUGAAUUGACGGGGGCCCGCACAAGCGGUGGAGCAUGUGGUUUAAUUCGAUGCAACGCGAAGAACCUUACCUACUCUUGACAUCCAGAGAACUUUCCAGAGAUGGAUUGGUGCCUUCGGGAACUCUGAGACAGGUGCUGCAUGGCUGUCGUCAGCUCGUGUUGUGAAAUGUUGGGUUAAGUCCCGCAACGAGCGCAACCCUUAUCCUUUGUUGCCAGCGGUCCGGCCGGGAACUCAAAGGAGACUGCCAGUGAUAAACUGGAGGAAGGUGGGGAUGACGUCAAGUCAUCAUGGCCCUUACGAGUAGGGCUACACACGUGCUACAAUGGCGCAUACAAAGAGAAGCGAACUCGCGAGAGCAAGCGGACCUCAUAAAGUGCGUCGUAGUCCGGAUUGGAGUCUGCAACUCGACUCCAUGAAGUCGGAAUCGCUAGUAAUCGUAGAUCAGAAUGCUACGGUGAAUACGUUCCCGGGCCUUGUACACACCGCCCGUCACACCAUGGGAGUGGGUUGCAAAAGAAGUAGGUAGCUUAACCUUCGGGAGGGCGCUUACUACUUUGUGAUUCAUGACUGGGGUGAAGUCGUAACAAGGUAACCGUAGGGGAACCUGCGGAUGGAUCACCUCCUUA